rnacentral:rRNA from 1 species
ACGGCGAGUGAAGCGGUAAUAGCUCAAAUUUGAAAUCUGGCUCUAGGGUCCGAGUUGUAAUUUGUAGAGGAUGUUUCGGGUGCGCCCGCAGUUUAAGUUCCUUGGAACAGGACGUCAUAGAGGGUGAGAAUCCCGUCUUGAACUGUACGGCAAGUCCAUGUGAAACUCCUUCGACGAGUCGAGUUGUUUGGGAAUGCAGCUCAAAAUGGGAGGUAAAUUUCUUCUAAAGCUAAAUAUUGGCCAGAGACCGAUAGCGCACAAGUAGAGUGAUCGAAAGAUGAAAAGCACUUUGAAAAGAGAGUUAAACAGUAUGUGAAAUUGUUAAAAGGGAAGCGUUUGCAACCAGACUUGUUUCUAACAGUUCUACCGCAGUUCUCUGUGGCUUAUUCUGUUAGUCCAGGCCAGCAUCAGUUUGGGUGGCUCGUUAAAGACUUUGGGAAUGUAUCUACUCCUUCGGGUGUAGACUUAUAGCCCAUUGUGUAAUAGGGUCUACCUGGACUGAGGUACGCGCA